rnacentral:rRNA from 1 species
AGUCAUAUGCUUGUCUCAAAGAUUAAGCCAUGCAUGUCUCAGUAUAAGUGUUUCACUGCGAAACUGCGAAUGGCUCAUUAAAACAGUUAUAGUUUCCAUGUCAGUUGAUUAUUACCUGGAUAUCCAUGGUAAUUCUAGAGCUAAUACAUGCGUCCAAACCCGACUUUUGCGGAAGGGUUGUGCUUAUUAGACACUGAACCAACCCGGGUUUCCCGGUUUCGAGUUGAUUGAUGGUAAUCGAACGAAUCGCAUGCUUCGGCGGCGAUAAUUCAUUCAAGUUUCUGACCUAUCAGCUUUCGACGGUAGGGUAUUGGCCUACCGUGGCAUUGACGGGUAACGG